rnacentral:rRNA from 1 species
CCCUUAGACGUUCUGGGCUGCACGCGCGCUACACUGAUGCAUCCAACAAGUUUUUUCCUUGUUCGAGAGGACUAGGUAAUCUUAUGAGAAUGCAUCGUGAUGGGGAUAGAUUAUUGCAAUUAUUAAUCUUCAACGAGGAAUUCCUAGUAAGCGCGAGUCAUCAGCUCGUGCUGAUUACGUCCCUGCCCUUUGUACACACCGCCCGUCGCUGCAACUGAUUGGGUGACCUGGUGAACAUCUUGGACCGGCCCACUCAAUUUCGAGAGGACUGGAAAAGGCCGUAAAUCAGGUACAUCUAGAAAUUGCAAAAGUCGUAACA